GGUAGCGGGGGGGGAGUGGGGGCGGUGAGACGUAGGGUGAAAGCGUUGUUGGUGGUUAGUGGGCGUAAAGGGCGCGUAGGCGGUUUGUCGGGUCGGAUGUGAAAACCCAAUGGCUUAGCCUGGGGCCUGCAUUAGAUACGGGCAGACUAGAGUGGGGUAGGGGAGACUGGAACUCCUGGUGUAGCGGUGGAAUGCGCAGAUAUCAGGAAGAACACCGAUGGCGAAGGCAGGUCUCUGGGCCACAACUGACGCUGAGGAGCGAAAGCGUGGGGAGCAAACAGGAUUAGAUACCCGAGAGUC
rnacentral:rRNA from 1 species